rnacentral:rRNA from 1 species
UACGUAGGGUGCAAGCGUUAAUCGGAAUUACUGGGCGUAAAGCGUGCGCAGGCGGUUGUGCAAGACAGGUGUGAAAUCCCCGGGCUUAACCUGGGAACAGCGCUUGAGACUGGCACGCUCGAGUCCGGGAGAGGUGAGUGGAAUUCCCAGUGUAGAGGUGAAAUUCGUAGAUAUUGGGAAGAACACCGGUGGCGAAGGCGGCCUGCUGGGCAGUUGCUGACACUGAGGCGCGACAGCGUGGGGAGCAAACAGG